GUAGACGCUGGCGGCGUGCCUAAACAUGCAAGUCGACCAUACAUCAUCGCGGUAGCUUGCUCCCUGAUGUUAGCGGCGGACGGGUGAGUAACACGUGGGUAACCUGCCUGUAAGACUGGGAUAACUCCGGGAAACCGGGGCUAAUACCGGAUGCUUGUUUGAACCGCAUGGUUCAGACAUAAAAGGUGGCUUCGGCUACCACUUACAGAUGGACCCGCGGCGCAUUAGCUAGUUGGUGAGGUAACGGCUCACCAAGGCGACGAUGCGUAGCCGACCUGAGAGGGUGAUCGGCCACACUGGGACUGAGACACGGCCCAGACUCCUACGGGAGGCAGCAGUAGGGAAUCUUCCGCAAUGGACGAAAGUCUGACGGAGCAACGCCGCGUGAGUGAUGAAGGUUUUUCGGAUCGUAAAGCUCUGUUGGUAGGGAAGAACAAGUGCCGUUCAAUAAGGGCGGCACCUUUGACGGUACCUACCAAGAAAAGCCACGGCUUAACUACGUGCCAACAACCGG
rnacentral:rRNA from 1 species